UACGUAGGUGGCAAGCGUUAUCCGGAAUUACUGGGUGUAAAGGGAGCGUAGACAGUAAUGUAAGUCUGGAGUGAAAGGCGGGGGCCCAACCCCCGGACUGCUCUGGAAACUAUGUUACUAGAGUGCAGGAGAGGUAGGCGGAAUUCCUAGUGUAGCGGUGAAAUGCGUAGAUAUUAGGAGGAACACCAGUGGCGAAGGCGGCUUACUGGACUGUAACUGACGUUGAGGCUCGAAGGCGUGGGGAGCAAACAGG
rnacentral:rRNA from 1 species